AAAUCGUUGUAAAACGCUGCAGAGCGUUUCAGCAUAAGCAACAGAUGAAUUGGGCGGAUAUGGUUUUCGAGGAGUUCCUGCAGAGACGGACGGAGCAUCGAGGCGUGGCUGUUGCUAUGGGAAGAUGGAAAAAGAAGGGGCCGAUAAUGUGGUGAAUGGUGCCGGGGGAGGAAGAGUGGAAGAAGAUGGGAGGAGGGAGGGAUGCAAGGCAGAGAAAUUUGGCCGCACUUCAGUCCCCUGCAGCUGGGGACAAUCAAAGAGGUGCGUGUGGACAAUGAAAGAUCAAGGACGAACCCCGGUGGGAUGUACGUUGGAAAAGUUUAUUCUGAAAUGAGCAGAAUGAAAAUAAAUACAACUUUUCAGGGGGUUAGGGGGUUACUUAUGGCGGUCUAUCCACCACCGUCCUCCAGCACCUUUGGCAUUGCUGGGUUCAGUGAUAGCGGGACUGAAUGAGGUGGCGGUGGGAAGGGAGGGAUUUACCCUCACUUAAUGAGCGGUCACCCCUUUUCCCCCGUUCCUCACCCCAUGCGAUGAGUGGAGACACGCCCCAGUGUGGCGGGGAGGAGAGUAGAGGCCGAGUGAAAGGGGGUCUGCGGCGGAGAGGCGGCGUCCUUGAGAGAGGAAGGUUUGACACGAAGAGGGAAGGAGAACAAAACAAACAACAAGAUGGGUUUGCUUCAACAUCCCUUGUACAAAGUCCUUGUCUUUCCUUGGUUGGUCUUUCAAACAGUGUAGAUGU